AGACAGCACGGGCGUCAGGAGGGCCCUGUGCCCCCUCCCACCCUCACCUGGUGUCAGCGCGGUCGUCUGGGCGUGACCCCUGACCUCUGUCGCUCAGCAAGUCUGCAGGAACCUUGUGUCCAGGGAAGCUGAGAACACACAUCCCUCGGACCCUGUGAUUUGCCAGGACCCGACCUCCGCCCGCUUCUCCCCAGGAGCGAGCAGCCAAUGGGAGGGGGAGCCUGUGAGCCUAGAGCACAGGUGCUUUCUCCUCCCAAAUCCUGACACUCCGGAGGAAUAAAGGCCUCGAACUGC